UUUCCGUAGGUGAACCUGCGGAAGGAUCAUUACUGAAUAAACCUGAUGUGGUUGUAGCUGGCCCUUUCGGGAGCAUGUGCACACCCGUCGUCUUUAUCUUUCCACCUGUGCACCUUUUGUAGACCUGGAUGUAACACUUUCCGAGGCAACUCGGUCGGGAGGAAUGCUGUCAGCUUUCCUUGAAUGUCCAGGCCUAUGUUUUCAUAUACCCCAAAGAAUGUAACAGAAUGUAUUAUUGGGCCUUGUGCCUAUAAACUAUAUACAACUUUCAGCAACGGAUCUCUUGGCUCUC
rnacentral:misc_RNA from 1 species